ACGGGAGGCAGCAGUGGGGAAUAUUGCACAAUGGGGGAAACCCUGAUGCAGCGACGCCGCGUGAGUGAAGAAGUAUUUCGGUAUGUAAACCUCUGUCCUCAGGGACGAUAAUGACGGUACCUGAGGAGGAAGCUCCGGCUAACUACGUGCCAGCAGCCGCGGUAAUACGUAGGGAGCGAGCGUUGUCCGGAAUUACUGGGUGUAAAGGGUGCGUAGGCGGGACGGCAAGUCAGAUGUGAAAUGUAUGGGCUUAACCCAUAACCUGCAUUUGAAACUGUUGUUCUUGAGUGAGGUAGAGGUAAGCGGAAUUCCUAGUGUAGCGGUGAAAUGCGUAGAUAUUAGGAGGAACAUCGGUGGCGAAGGCGGCUUACUGGGCCUUUACUGACGCUGAGGCACGAAAGCGUGGGGAGCAAACAGGAUUAGAUACCCUGGUA
rnacentral:rRNA from 1 species